UACCAAACAGCUUGCGGUUAUAUGCGGA
rnacentral:sRNA from 1 species